GCGGGCGUCGUAUAAUGGCUAUUAUGUCAGCCUUCCAAGCUGAAGACGGCGGUUCGAUUCCGCUCGCCCGCUCCA
rnacentral:tRNA from 1 species